CCCCGCGUCGCACGGAUUCGUCCCUCCCCCCACCCUACGCACCGCCUAGCGACUAGGUUUCGAACACACGGGAGAGGGGCACCGGUCUUCCGAACGGAAACGGCCAAGGCGCAGCGUGGCCGAAGACGCGCACGACCAAAAAAAAGCCAAGUCCCAGCGUGUGGAAAGACACCGAAGCUGCUACGUAUCCUUGGGUUGGUGAAGGGCACGAUGUAUGCGACGGGGCGGCAUGGCUGUUCGGCCUUGCGUUAGGGCCGAAAACGAGGGGUUCGCCCAUGGCGCACGGGCCGAAAACCGAGGUUCGGGCAUGGCCCCGGAAAUAAGCUAAGUCCAAGCGUGUGGAAAGACACCGAAGGUAAUAUGUAUGUCUUGGGUGAAGGGCAUGGCGGAACGGAGGGAAAACGGCACGGAGGCGCAAGGCGACGGGCGGCAUGGCUGUUCGGCCUUGCGUCUGGGCCGAAAAUGAGGGGUUCGCCCAUGGCGCACGCGCCGAAAACUGAGGCCCGGGCACGACCCCGAAAAAAAGCUAAGUCCAAGCGUGUGGAAUGGAAAGACAACAAGCUAAGGUGUAUGUCAGGCUUGAGUGAAGGGCAAGGUGGAACGGAGGGAAAACGGGAGGAGGCGCGCGGCGACGGGCGGCAGGGCUGUUCGGCCUUGCGUCUGGGCUGAAAACGAGGUGUUCGCCAUGGCGCACGGGCCGAAAACGGAGGCUCGGGCACGAACUCGAAAAUAAGCUAAGUCGAAGCAUGUGGAAAGACACCGAACAUAAAGUCUAUGUCUUUGGUGAAGGGCACAGUGGAACGGAGGGAAAACGACACGGAGGCACGCGACGAACGGAGGCUCGGGCACGGAGGCGCGCGGCGACGGGCGGCAUGGCUGUUCGGCCUUGCGUUUGGGCUGAAAACGAGGCGUUCGCCAUGGCGCGCGGGCCGAAAACAACGGUUCGGCCACGGCCUCGGAAAUAAGCUAAGUCCAAGCGUGUAGAAAGACACCGAAGCUAAUGUGUAAGUCUUGGGUGAAGGGCACGGUGGAACGGAGGGAAAACGACACGGAGGCACGCGACGACGGGCGGCAGGGCCGUUCGGCCUUGCGUCUGGGCUGAAAACGAGGGGUUCGCCAUGGCGCACGGGCCGAAAACGGAGGCUCGGGCACGAACUCGAAAAUAAGCUAAGUCCAAGCGUGUGGAAAGACACCGAACCUAAAGUGCAUGUCUUGAUUGAAGCGCAAGGUGGAACGGAGGGAAAACGGGAGGAGGCGCGCGGCGACGAGCGGCAGGGCCGUUCGGCCUUGCGCCUGGGCUGAAAACAAGGGGUUCGCCAUGGCGCGCGGGCCGAAAACCGAGGUUCGGGCAUGGCCCCGGAAAUAAGCUAAGUCCAAGCGUGUGGAAAGACACCGAAGGUAAUAUGUAUGUCUUGGGUGAAGGGCAUGGCGGAACGGAGGGAAAACGGCACGGAGGCGCAAGGCGACGGGCGGCAUGGCUGUUCGGCCUUGCGUCUGGGCCGAAAACGAGGGGUUCGCCAUGGCGCGCGGGCCGAAAACAACGGUUCGGCCACGGCCGCGAAAACGGGCUAAGUCCCAGCGUGUGGAAAGACACCGAACCUAGAGCGCAUGUCUUGAGUGAAGGUAAAGGUGGAACGGAGGGAAAACGGGAGGAGGCGCGCGGCGACGGGCGGCAGGGCUGUUCGGCCUUGCGUAUGGGCUGAAAACGAGGAGUUCGCCAUGGCGCGCGGGCCGAAAAAAACGGUUCGGCCACGGCCGCGAAAACGGGCUAAGUCCAAGCGCGUGGAAAGACACCGAGGCUGCUACGUAGGUCUCGGUUGAAGGGCACGGUGGAACGGAGGGAAAACGGGAGGAGACGCAAGGCAACGGGCGGCAGGGCUGUUCGGCCUUGCGUUUCGGGUGAAAACGAGGGGUUCGCCAUGGCGAACGGG
rnacentral:lncRNA from 1 species